rnacentral:pre_miRNA from 1 species
AGGCCUGGCUGUAUUCUACAGUGCAUGUGUCUCCAGUGUUUCUAAGCGACUGGAGAUACAGCCCUGUCGGAAUAACAGCCAGCGCCAA